ACUGGAGAGGCAGAACCUAAGAGCGGGCAGCCCCCUUGGCCCUCUGCAAGGACAGCCCCGCUUCUAGGUCACGGCCAGGUGCCGGGACAAGAAGACAGGGCCUGGAGACCAGCGACUUCCUGAGCAGCCGGAGGUCAGAGCUAAUGAGGCUCAGUGCACUCCAUCCCUCGUGGAGGGCAGCUGCAAGGGACCCAGGGAGCGAAGUAAUAAUGCCAGCUGGAGGACGGCAUGCCAGGGGAGGCUAACCCACACUGUCAAUCUGCCACGUGACGGAGCAUUUAGGAAGAAAAUGUCACCUCUGGGGUCUGCUUCAGAGCCACCUGAGGCGAAGAGUUGGGGGCUGUGGAUGGUGCUGUGAGAUGCACCACCAUAUAUUGACAAAGUGUGGGCCUGGCGCCUUCCAGGGGUUGCUGAAGCAGCCUGUGCACACCCUCCGGCUGAGCCACGUCCUCCAGCAGAGCGUCCCUCUCGAGAUCCUCUAAGUGCACCAGGCCACUCAUGUCAUCGUGGUGGGGGAGGAGGAGGGGGUCCGAGAGUCUUCGGAAACAGCACGGGAGAGAGGGUCCUCCUGGGUCCUGGCUUCCUGGGAGCCCGGGCUGGGUGCUCUCAUCCAAGCACGGCAGCCGGGUGUCCAGGGCGCCAUCCAAGGUCUCUGGCGAGAACUCGCCGGGCUCUGCCGCAACGUCAUCUGCCGGCUGCUGGCGCCACAGUUUGUUAUGCCGCUGCUUGCUGUGGGGAGAGAGCGCAGGAGAGUUCUGCCUGCUCGCCAGAAGAGGGCACCGGAUCUCACUAUAGAUGGUUGUGAGCCACCUCUGGUUGCUGGGGAUUGAACCCAGGACCUCUGGAAGAGCAGACAUCGCUCUUAACCUCCGAGCCAUCUCUCCAGCCUCGUGGCAGUGUGAGAAAACUCAGGGAUCAAAGCAGAAGCAUCUUAAGCUCUUAAGCACAAUCGUGUAAUGAGGCAAACCCAACCACACUGUCCCAGAUUACAGGAAACUCCUACUUGCUUCAGACAGAGACUACAGGUCUGUUUUAAAUGAUUUUCUUUCUUCCUUUUUAAGAAUCAAGAUCUAUGUAGCUCAGGCUAGCCCCAAACUUAUUAUGUAGCCAAGGCUAGCCUUGAGCUGCUCCUGAUUCUUCUACCACUUCCUUUCAAUUUCUGGGAUUACACGCCUGACUUGCAUGGAUUCUUCUGAUGCUUGUUAUUGUUUUUAUAUGAAGACAGAAUCCAUGGCCUUGUGCCUGAGAUCAAGCAUUCUACCACUGGGCUACAUACACAGCCUCAUGGCAUUAAAAACAAACAAGCAAAAAGCCCAAACCAAAUAUUUUUUACUCUUUCUUGAGAAUUUCCUACCAUGUAUUUGAACGUAUUUACCCCACCUUCACUGCCCCAGUUUGUGUCUUCAAAAUAAGCCACUGAGUCAUUUAUGCUGCCAUUACUCAUAGGUGUGGGCCAUCCACAAGGCACGGGUGACCCGCCGGGAGCCUCCCAGAGCCAUGAGCUGUCAAUGGCUGCUAAGUCAGGGGCAGGGCCUGGCACUGCAUGUAUGACAUGCUUGAAGACAGAAGCCAAGAAUUAAGGGAGACAGAGAACUUCCUGGUGGCAGAGGAGCCACAGGAUCAAUCACCUUCAUCCCCCCAAAGGCUGCAGAGUAAAACUGGCUCUGUGGGGUUCGAGGGACGGGAUGGAGAAGCAGCCUCCUGCGCUGCUGUGGGCCCGAGGGAGACCCUCGGCUAGGCUGCCAUGUGGGAAGGCGCUGGGUGACAGGAGAGGCUAAGGGAGCUGACUGUCCCUCCUCCUCCAGCUGCCUGGGGGACCUGUGGGACACUUGGAAACAGUGAAACUGCCCAGGGAUGGUUGCAGUGGCUCUCCUGGCCUUGUCAAUCCUGCCGGAGUACCCCUGCUUCCCUGAACUUGCCCAAAGGGCUCAAGGACUUCACCCCUGGAUCCCUUCCAGCACUACUUAAAAACAAUCCCGGCGGCUGCUUCUGCAGACUGGACACGGGUCGGGGAGAAAGAGAGCCCUCAAACACCGGCACCCGCCCCAGCAGCCCGGGACCUCUGGGGAACCCUCCCCGCUCUGCUGGAGGGGGGAGAGGGAGGGUGUCAACAAGCGCUUUCUCUUGCGGCCAUCAACACAUGUGGUUGUAAAUCUCUCUCUUGGCACACCAGAAGUCACCGUGUGACAAGCUAACCUAUCAGCGUUGGCUCCCGCUGCUCGCUCGGAAAACGAGAAGCUGAACUUGGAGGUGGGAGGCAGACUUAGCAGCCACAGUUGUUAAUUCACUGCAGGGCGUGCGAAGGCGCUGUAAGUGGCUGCUUGUGCAAGCUCACAGAGCCAUGUCAAUUUUCAAUUUGCAGUAAUCAGUGCUGUCUUGACCACGUUCAUGUACACAGCCUGGCGGGACACACAGAAAGUACCGCCCGAUACCAUCUCUGCUCGCGGUGCAGGAAAACACUACCACCAGACUCGCACCGUCCCCUCCAGCAUGGGGGCACCAACAUCAAUCUCCACCUCCGGGGACCCCACACAGGCACGGGGCCACACAGCUUUUCCCGAUAGCCCCGAAGUUUGCUCGGACUGUACCACAUGUGUCAGAAUUUUCCUUCCCUUCCUCUCUAUGGAGCAGAGACGAGAUGGGAUCCCGGUAUAGGGUAGAGAGCAGCCUUGAACUUCUGGGUCAGGCAAUCUUCUGGCUUUACUUCCCCAAGCAGGCCUCGCCUACAGUCAGGGGCCCCAUCAUCUGCCUCCGACUGCCUUCCUUCUGUAGGCAGAGGAAGAGUCCUGUGUUUAGCCAGCCACCGGCCAAUGGACUCUUGGGUGGCCUCUGGGCUUGCGCCACUGUAAAUAACACCUCCAUCAACACGAACGGCCCGAGGGUCCCUCACUUCCAGUCUUCUGGGUGUACAUGGUAAAAUGGAAGUUUUGGAUGGUGUAGUAGUUCUUCUGCUCUUAGGGUUUUGGGGGCCCACCAGUGGAUGACACCCGGUCAUCAAAUCCUUAACUCAGAAAAGGGAACUGGUUUUCAGGGAGACCAGCGGCUUCUUCGGCCCUGGAGUCUGGCACAAAGCAGGUGCUUAGGAAACGGAUAUGCUGCGGCCCACACCACCUACUGGGACAUGCUUCGGACGGGCAGUGAGGCACCUUCCCUCGCCCAUCAAGACAAGCUUUCUACCCGUGCCAACAAAAUCAAAACGGAUCCCUCCUGGAAGCCACUAAUCAGAGCCCAAACAAUAGUUGUUUUUUACAAGCUAAGCUCCCCUGAGAGCCUCCACUUGUGGAAGCUCCUGCCAGGCCUGGCCAGCUUGGUCUGCCAGCCCAUCUCUGGGUACGCACUCACCUUGCAUCCAGGAUGCCUUCGUACUCGGACAGCUGCCUCAUAAAGCCUGCGUUGGGCCGCGUGAUGCUGCGCCUCUGCUUCACGUAGUUGUAGGCCCUCUCCAGGGGCCAGCCAAAUUCCUUCAUGGCGUAGGCGAUGACCGUGGACGCAGAUCGGCUGACGCCCAUCUUGCAAUGGACCAGGCACUUGGAGCGAUUCCUUCUGCAGGGGUUCGGGGUGAGGGAUGGAGAGCAGGGAUGAGAGCCCCUGUCACCUCACAGCUCCAAUCCUUCUCCGUCCCCAUGGCUUAUGGGACAGAUCUAACACACCUUCUAAAGGAAAGACUUUGCCUUCAAGUCAAUGAACACACACUGAGAGAACGGAUCAAUCUGCAUGACCUGGCCCAGCUCUGCAGUGCCCCCUUCAAAAUGGAGUCUCCCCUGUUGCUGGGAUGAGUGAGGGUACCUGUGGUUGCUUCCUGGGUAGCACCUGGGACACUUUCUGCAAAAGCCACCCAGCUGCUAUAGCAGAUGGAGGCCCUGAAUGAGCUACUGUGGAAAAUGGGGUCAGCAAGGCGAAAAUGCUGUGCCCUCGGGGAGAGGGUGAGCGCCCAGAGGGAGUGCAGGAUCGACAGCAAUCUGGCCAAGAGAGGCGAGCCAGGGGGAAGAGCCGAUCUUCUGCUGUAAGAAGGCUGUGCUGGCCCAGGCGCAGCUGAUUUUGGCGAUACACAGGGAACAGUGACCCUCUCCUUGCUGGAGAAGGUGAAGGCAUGCCAGGCUGGCAGAGGCUGCCUCUGGGAAGGUAGGGCGGGAGCCAGCAGGCUCCGGCUUUCUACACCGGCCUUAAAAUUCCUGCCCCACAGCACUAGUCUUUCCUGACUUCUAAACUCACCAGCAAGGAGCCCCAAGUCUGAGCCCUGGGAAAGCAAGAGAAGUGGGGUUUGCUCAGCACACACCCUGUAGCUUUGACUGGGAGGCUACUAAGGAAGAGGGCUUUUCUAGAUAAUACAGUAGUGAGGGUUGGGAGGGGGUGUCUCUGCUUUGAACUUCAAUACCACAGCAGCAAUAAAGGAGAAUGAGGAGGGGCCUGGGACUCAGGGUCAGUGGAAAUGGCCCCGUCUCGGGACUGCCCUGUUUUAGGCACCCAGGAACUUGGAACUACCCUGUGGAGAGGACACAGCCUGUAUUCCUUUGGGGGGGGGGUCUGUCCAGGAGUUCUAAGCCCAGCAUGUACCGGCCCUUUCCAGGAGAGAGCUCCCCAGUGGCACUUCAUAUUAAACCCUGACCUGGCGUCAGUGCUGGUGAUGAA